rnacentral:lncRNA from 1 species
CAUUAAAAAAUAACCAAAAAAAUCCAAACAAAAAUAUAUUACAAAAUAACAGCGAAAAUUUAGCCUAACCACAACCCUGUGUACCACAUAGCAAUCGUUUCAAAUGAAAUAUGCAAAUCAAUCAACUGACGAGUGCCAAGCGAAAUGACACCCGAAUAUUCAAAGUGCAACCGUGAGUGCGCGCAAUCAAAAGUGAAGUGAGCAAAACCAAAAACAAAAACUAUUAAACACACACAAACAAAUUUACAAAAUGUGCAGUGGCAAAUGUUAAAUGCCAAAUGGUGUAUACCGUUAGCCAAAUGACAUAUAAGCCGCCGAUAAUCAACCGUCAGUCGAUAAUCAACGAAUUCAAGCACGAAAUUUGCAAAGCAGCGCAGGCGAACCCAACGGCAUAACAUAAUGAAAAGUGCCUCGAAGUAGCGUCAAAACUGAUCGAAACACGAAACGACUGACCAAAGUGGCCACUGCGGUGCUCUAGUUAGCAAUGAACGCUGCCAGCCAGUGAGUGUGAGUGUGAGUGUGUGAAGUGAGCAUAAAUCGAUUAUAGAUUAGACGGAAAUUGGAGUGGCAACUAAGCUUCCGACGCUGCGUGCGGGCAUAUUUGUAUAAAUAUAACGGUAUAUGUGUGUAGUUGGCGCGUAUAACGGUAGUCAUCACGUGCCGCUUAUCACAAGCGAGCAGCAGGCAAUCAAAUAGUUGGCCGUGCGGGGCUGUCAAUUAGCAGCUGCACUGUGUGUGGCAGUGACAGGAGAGGUAGCAAGCGCGAUUCAGAAGAUUAUAUAUAAAUAUAUAUAUGCUGUGUGUAGGCGUGCCACACUAUCGUUCGUUACAUGUUCACACGCUUAUAUAAAAAUAUCCAGGCAAGCAAAAGCGCUUCCCUGUAUGAAUGCCAAGUGCCCGUCACUCAUACGCCAUGUUGUCCUCACCCUUUGCCUAGCAAUGAGGCGUAGCUGUGCGUCACCUUUGUAGGUGUCGGUUAAUUUGUAAAUGAUUUUAAUAGCAUUUGCUAUUGCAGCGUGUGCCACACAAAUACAAUAAAGUGUUCGCGUGUGCGUGUGUGUGUGUGUUACCACACCAGCUGUAAUAAUAUCGUGUAUCCUUUCGUUCGUGUGCCUUCUUCCAACUUGACUCGAUUUGUGCGUUGUGCUUGGUUUAACGGUUUUGUGUUGUGGCACUAGCAACUAUGUGGCUAUAUAGUGGUGUCACUUCCCGCUAGGGGCGCAACUAAGUAGUGAACCCUUACCCCAAAAACAAUAAUAUUGCGCGCAAUUGCUUGUCGCGAACACUUACGUCGCGUAAUUUUUUAUGGCUUAGCGGAUUUCUGCUUUUAAUAGUCUUGAAGUUGCUUGACGCAGUUCACAUUGUUAAUUGGUCUCGAAUAGCGUGUGCAUGCGCUCCUUUGAAGCUGAAAAAGAAGGUGAGAAUGCAAUUAAACAUUUACAACAAAUACUUUUAAGUAAACACUAAAAAAGAGAAAUUUUAUUAACACCCACGAAAUACACAGUUAUUUUUAUAAACAAGCUGCUUAAAUAUAAGCGAAAGUUUAUUCGGUUCCAUUAAAAGGCAAAGUAUUUGAUCAAAGAGAUAUAAUUGGACGCGAUAGUAAAUAAGCGACAAAAAACAA